rnacentral:rRNA from 1 species
GAUGAACGCUGGCGGCGUGCCUAAUACAUGCAAGUCGAGCGAAUGGAUUAAGAGCUUGCUCUUAUGAAGUUAGCGGCGGACGGGUGAGUAACACGUGGGUAACCUGCCUAUAAGACUGGGAUAACUCCGGGAAACCGGGGCUAAUACCGGAUAACAUUUUGAACCGCAUGGUUCGAAAUUGAAAGGCGGCUUCGGCUGUAACUUAUGGAUGGACCCGCGUCGCAUUAGCUAGUUGGUGAGGUAACGGCUCACCAAGGCAACGAUGCGUAGCCGACCUGAGAGGGUGAUCGGCCACACUGGGACUGAGACACGGCCCAGACUCCUACGGGAGGCAGCAGUAGGGAAUCUUCCGCAAUGGACGAAAGUCUGACGGAGCAACGCCGCGUGAGUGAUGAAGGCUUUCGGGUCGUAAAACUCUGUUGUUAGGGAAGAACAAGUGCUAGUUGAAUAAGCUGGCACCCUGACGGUACCUAACCAGAAAGCCACGGCUAACUACGUGCCAGCAGCCGCGGUAA